UAAAUAUUUUUUUUAUUGAUUUCAGAGAGGCAGGGUAAGGGAGAGAGAGAUAGAAACAUCAAUGAUGGGAAUUAUUGAUCAGCUGCCUCGUGCACGCCCCCUACUGGCGACGGAGCCUGCAACCUGGACUGUAUGUGCUUGCUCUGUUGGGACAGCUGAAGGGAGUUACUCAUGAAGUGGAGGCUGGAAUCAAACCCGGGACCUUCAGUGUGCAGGCUGAUGAUCUACCCACUGAGCCAAACCAGCCAGGGCCUGAUGCUUCGUUUUAAGAAUGAGUCUCUUCUCCAUAACCUGGUGCGCUAAUCCUAGAGCACUGAGGGACAGGAGGCUUCUAACCCUGGCUCUCCCGCUUAAGGUGAAGUACCUUGUAAGUUACUAUAAAACAGAGGGAUGAGGCCAGGAAAUCCCUGAGCACCCCUCCCACUGGGAUAUUUUAACAUACAUGUCAUUAUGCCGGACAGAAUUCAGCCUCUGAGGAAUUGUCUGUUCCUGUCUGUGGCUGUCGGGCCAAAGGUCAUAAGGUGGGGUACAGAGAAGUUUGAUCUGAUUCUCGAUCCACUUAGCUGGUCCACCCUGCUGAGCAAACACUAGGGACUGCAUGUCUCCCUAUAGCUACCCAGGAGGCUCACCCACACUCCCCUGGGGCAGGUGGGAGGGACAGUGCUGGGAACGUCCAGCUGUGAGCUCAGAGCUGUGGGCCCACUAGAGUCUAUGGAGGACUCUUGAGAACAGUAAGAGUUCAGCACACAAAAGAACAAAAACUGGAAACUGCAUAAAAAAUGCAGACAAAUGAUUAAGAACGCUAUAUACAAACUCACGAAUUGUUAAAGGGGCAAAAAAUGUUUUUU